CCUCCCAUGGGAGAUUGCAUGAACAAUACAGAAAUUACAUCAUUAGAGUAUUACACAUAUUCAUAUAUACAAAGGAAAAGGAUAUGAGAUUUGUACAUAAGAAGAAAGUUAAGCACAACAUAUGUAUAGGCAAUACAUAGCUAAUUAGAAUCGAACACUGGGAAUGGUGAAAAACCUGUAGUUAUGUAAGACGUAACUGUCUGUUGUAACAUGCUGCUGCAUCCCUCAGGAAGCGGAAGUUCAGAAGAUGCAAGCCGGGCUCGUCAUAAUGGGAAAGAUUAACUGUGAACAUUCUAGCACCUAAUAGAAAAAGAUAUAGAUCUUGAUGACAGAGACCGCAAAGUUCAGCACUGAGCACAAUAUCAAGGUCAAUUACUGUAUUCCACCAAGCAUCUUGGAUAGCGACUGUUCCUACGCAAGUGGUCGAAACGUGUUCAAAAACGUUUGUGAAAUAUUUGCCACAGAUGAGACAAGAUGUCGGAGGAGAGUGUGGAAAGGACCAUAGCUUAGUGAUAAAUUUGCAAAUCUCUAUUUCAUGAAUGUUAGACGGAAUUUUCCAGAUAGUCUGUGGAGGUCGCCCUGCCGUUAUUUUGUUGAAUUGUUGAAAAGAAGGAUCCGAGAGCAUCCGUUUGUGCCUUGAAUCUAGAUGGAAAUCAAUUAUUGCUGUUUUGACGCUUGUUUUCCACAAACUCUUUGGAGGAAAGUAACCAUCUUGCAGAUAGAGUAGAAAAUGCCGGUGGAGGUUAUACUUAUAGAGUAGAUUAAAAACAUCAUGGAUAAAACCAAAAUGUUUGAGUUCCGGAGACUGUAUAAGAAAUCGGAAGAAGUCCAAGUAAGGAUUCACAAAUGUCAGAUCGAGUAACUUUUGGUAAACCCAUUGCAUGCUUGCAAAUGAAGUGCUGUAAGGUAUUAAGGGCCUGCAGAUCUCGUUGGCGUAAAUCGCUCCAGAGUUCACAUCCGUAUAGGGUGGAAGGGAGAACAAUUCUGUUGUACAAACGCGAUACGGUAUCAGGGUUAAGGUGUUCUUGUAUUUUGAGUGCAUAGUAGGCUUGUCGACCUUUCCUACACGCGUUGGCGAUUUUCUCAGUAUGAACAAGAUUGGAUUGAAGAAGAAUUCCAAGAUGGUUAUAAGUUUUGGAUAGGUAGACAGGUUCAGUGCCGAGAUACCAUAUGGGGGAAGUAUUGUCUUUUGCUGUUGAGGGGGAGAAUCGAAGAACACUAGAUUUGUCGGCAUUAAAUUGGAAUCUCCAGUUUUUGGAGUAGACGAACGCUGUAUUGAGAAUCUUCUGGAUGGCAGAAGGUGAUAACGCAAUGCAGGAGAUGUCAUCUGCGAGAGCAGGAGUAGAACUAGCAAUGUUGUAAAUACCCAUGUUCGGACAUUGAUUUUGAAUUUCAUGAAGCAGGUCGUUGAUGAACACCAGAUAGAGGAAAGUAGAAAGUACCCCUCCUUGGCGUACUCCUUGAGAGACAGGAAACCAGCUGGAAUUUAUGUGAUUCACUACAACAGAACAGGAGGUAUUUGUAUGACAAUCAUCAAUCAGAGUACAUAGACGACCGGAAAUUCCCAGACGGCUAAGUUUACCCAUGAGACCGUGUCUCCACACAGUGUCAAAAGCCUUUUGUGUAUCUAGAAAGGCGACAUAUACGGGACUACCUUGUUCAAUAUUAUGAUGUAUAGUUUCUUGUAGGUUGAAAUAUGCUGUAAGACAACCGAGUUUCUGUUGAAAUCCUUGCUGCUGAAUAUUGGGAAAUUCUACAGUUGAAAGAAUGUGCGACUUUAUUCUGUAUAGAAGCAAUUUCUCAAAAAUCUUCAACAUGCAGGGAAGCAGGGCUAUUGGUCGAUAACUGUUGGGUGAUUUCUUUGGUUUAUUGUGUCCUUUGUGUAUGGGGACGAUAAUGUCUUUUUUCCAAGAAGUUGGGAUUUCGCCAGUUUUUAUAAUUGAAUUAAACAGAUGUUGUAUGCACAGUUUGGGUCCUGUGCCGCCAUAAAUGAUAUGUUCACUCUGUAUUCGAUCUAUACCAGGAGCUUUUCUGCGUUUUAAAUCACUAAUAAUAUUAGAAAUUUCAUCAAUAGUGAUGUCUCCACCCGGAAGAGAUUUUUCGUUCAGAAGUUUGGUCACUGUUUUUAAUUCAUUAUAAGAAUUUUCGAUAGAACGGAAGAAAUCGUCGUUGAAGGUUCCAAUGUCUUGUGGAUUGUAAAUAUUUUCGAAGUGUUUCGCGAAACAGUUAGCAAUAUCUACAGGGUUUGAGUAGGAAAAGUUUUCGGUUUCUAUUUCUGAAUAGAUUCGAGAACUGCGAGGUCGCUGGCGUUUAAUCAGCCUCCAAAAGAGUCGAACAUCACACUCUGAAGCUUCGUCGAUGUCCUUGAAUACUUUAGUCAUGAAGUCAUCAUGUGCUGAUUGCAAUUCAUUGCGAAAAUUUGCGCACUUAUAAUUUCUGUAAGAUUCAUGACACAUGCCGCGAGGUCGACCCUCACUUAACCAAAUGUUGCGUUUUUGUCGUUCUGUAUUAUGUAGUUGUUUCACUUUUGGCAUCCAUUCCGGUUUUAAAUAUGGCUUGUACUUCGAUACAGUUAUGUAUUGGGAUGCAGCAUCAUGCAACAGACAGUUAAGAUCUGAACAAAAAUCAUCAGUAUCAUUUACACACUCAAGAUUUCUUUCUAAUAAUGCAACAGAAUCUUUAGAAACAAAACUUUCAUACUCUCUGAUUUUACAGGAAUCUGCCUUAUGCCAAGCCGGUAAAUAUUGAAAAUGAUUAUCUGCAAUUCGGUUUUCAACAUCGAAGUCUAGAACCAUGAAAACAGGAAGGUGAUCUGAUGUACAACUAUGUGAACCUUCCUCAAAACAUGAUACAGUUCAACAUAUUUACAAAGAGAAUUGCUACAAAAAAUAAAAUCAAGUGUUGACUUUGUUUGGAUAAAAGUAUACUGAGAACCAGUUGACUCAAAAUCGACUCGGGGACUUCCUAUGUAAUUACGCAUGAUAAAGUCUUUAAGCAAACUCGACUUGUACAUAUUAACUCGACCAGAGUCUGUAUUGUAACAACUAACGUUGAAGUCACCUCCUACAAUAACAUCCCCUAUGGAAGAAAAAUGUGCUACAAGAUCUUCAAGUAAACCCAUUUCAUCUGUAUAUGACUGGAUUACAUUAUCUGCAGGAAGGUAUGCACCAAAAAUGUACAAAGGGCGGUCACUGGACCGUUUGAUUUUUAGGCCAAUAAUACGUGAUGAAUCAAUGUCUGUUAAUUCACAUAUAGACAGUUUGAGUUCCUUUUUAUACAGAAUGCCAACGCCACCCUUACCUAAGUAGCGCGAGAAUUGUGUGCAAAAUCUGUUCUUUUCAGAACUACAUGUAUGUUCUGUGCGUACAAAACUGAGAUAGUUAGGGUGGAUUGAAUCCAUAAAGGAAAUAUUAUUUGGUUUGAGUUUGUGCUCGGAUACAAUUCCUAUAUCACACUUAACAUGACUAAGCAUAUCGGAAAGACAAAUUGAUGAUGACAUAAUGCCUCUGACAUUCCAUGAUAAAAUAUUAAGAUUAUUUGGCAUUGAUAAUUAAUGUUAAAAGACAUAGAUAUUGUAUAUUACAGAUACACACAGAUAUUGCAUAACAUAUCGUUUAGUCAUGGUCAUGAUCUUGAGACUCCCAGUCUUCAUCAUCAUAAUUAGUAUCCUCAGAGCGAGCAAUUUUGUCCUGCCAUUGUCUGUUGCUUAGCCAAGGUCUGCACGAAAUGCCCCUUGGCCAAAAACCAAUCGACUCUAUCACAUGUGCGUCGCUCAGGACCACAUUAAUUUUAGCGUUACGCCGAGAACCUACCCUUUUAGGUUUGAAAAAUACACACAAGGAAACAGAUAUUCCCUUAUUUUUGAGAAAGUUUGUCAUGCCGAGUUGUGUAGACCGUGGGCCUAUUCCGGAAAUAUAAUAGCAUGCGUUCCGUCGGUAGGUAACACCUUCGAAUAUAUCAUCAUCCACGCAAACUGCGGAGUCGGUUGCUUUAUCGGGGUAUGUUGACUCGUCUGGCACAGUAGAGUAAGGUAUUUUCGAGGUAUGAGCGGCAUUGGAGUGUUUGGAUGACUGUUGUUGCUGCGUAUUCGAUUGGACAUAGAUCCGCUCCUUCGAGGUGUUGGUCAUUUGAGACCUUUCGAAAACGCUUGGUGUGUUCAUGGAGGACACUGCAUCCGCAUAUGCAGUUGAAGCUUUGGAGUGGUGAUUAUUAUGGAAUACUUCCACUGACGGAUUUGGUACUAGUACUGGUGCACAAAUACUCGCUUCUGUUGUUUUCUGGGCUUCACAUUCAGACAGGUGCAGGUCAUUCAGCUGAGACGGACCGUUACAGGUAGACUGUGUUUUUGAUAUUGCUCGAGAGGCACACGGUGGGGUAGUAGGUUUGCUGUUCUUCAUAUCACUGAUCUGUUUCUGAAAACCGCUGCAGAGUUUUGUAACUUUAGAUAUGUCGUGUUCGAAUUGAUGACAUUUGGCUUCAUACUCAAUAAAAUCAAGACCCUGAA